CCGUCGAUAGCUCAGUUGGUAGAGCGGUGGACUGUAGAAAUAGUUGACUUAAGUGGGCAAAGAUGAUAUCCAUAGGUCGCUGGUUCAACUCCGGCUCGACGGA
rnacentral:tRNA from 1 species